AGGUAGUGGCUUACCAUGGUUGCUACGGGUGACGGAGAAUUAGGGUUCGAUUCCGGAGAGGGAGCCUGACAAACGGGUACCACAUCCAAGGAAGGCAGCAGGCGCGCAAAUUACCCAAUCCUGACGUGGGGAGGUAGUGACAAAAAAUAACCAUACAGGGCUUAUUUGUCGUCUUGUAAUUGGAAUGAGUACAAUUUAAAUCUCUUAACGAGGACCAAUUGGAGGGCAAGUCUGGUGCCUGCAGCCGCGGUAAUUCCAGCUCCAAUAGCGUAUUGUAAAGUUGUUGCUGUUAUAAAGCUCGUAGUUGGAUUUCGGGCUCGACGACGACGGUCCGACGCAAGGCAAGGUAUGUCACUGUCGGCGUUGGCCUUCUUCGCGCAGACUUCGCGUGCUCUUAACUGAGUGUGCGUUGGAUACGCGACGUUUACUUUGACAAAAUUAGAGUGUUCAAAGCGGGCUCGUGCUUGGAUACAUCAGCAUGGAAUAAUGGAAUAGGACUUUGGUUAUAUUUUCCGUUGGUUUAUGGAACCGAAGUAAUGACUAAUAGGGACAGUUGGGGGCAUUCGUAUUUCGUUGUCAGAGGUGCAAUUCUUGGAUUUACGAAAGACGAACUAAUGCGAAAGCAUUUGCCAAGAAUGUUUUCAUUCAUCAAGAACGAAAGUUAGAGGAUCGAAGACGAUCAGA
rnacentral:rRNA from 1 species